rnacentral:tRNA from 1 species
UGUUCUGUGGCGAAGUUGGUUAACGUACCCUGCUAACGUAUUGAGAGAUGUGGGUUCAAAUCCCACCAGAUCUA